rnacentral:rRNA from 1 species
CAAUCCUGGUGGCGAGUGGCGGACGGGUGAGUAAUAUAUCGGAACGUGCCCAGUCGUGGGGGAUAACGCAGCGAAAGCUGUGCUAAUACCGCAUACGAUCUCUGGAUGAAAGCGGGGGACUCGCAAGGGCCUCGCGCGAUUGGAGCGGCCGAUAUCAGAUUAGCUAGUUGGUGGGGUAAAAGCCCACCAAGGCGACGAUCUGUAGCUGGUCUGAGAGGACGACCAGCCACACUGGAACUGAGACACGGUCCAGACUCCUACGGGAGGCAGCAGUGGGGAAUUUUGGACAAUGGGCGAAAGCCUGAUCCAGCAAUGCCGCGUGAGUGAAGAAGGCCUUCGGGUUGUAAAGCUCUUUUGUCAGGGAAGAAACGGUGGGGGCUAAUAUCCCCCACUAAUGACGGUACCUGAAGAAUAAGCACCGGCUAACUACGUGCCAGCAGCCGCGGUAAUACGUAGGGUGCAAGCGUUAAUCGGAAUUACUGGGCGUAAAGCGUGCGCAGGCGGUUUUGUAAGUCUGAUGUGAAAUCCCCGGGCUCAACCUGGGAAUUGCAUUGGAGACUGCAAGGCUAGAAUCUGGCAGAGGGGGGUAGAAUUCCACGUGUAGCAGUGAAAUGCGUAGAGAUGUGGAGGAACACCGAUGGCGAAGGCAGCCCCCUGGGAUAACACUGACGCUCAUGCACGAAAGCGUGGGGAGCAAACAGGAUUAGAUACCCUGGUAGUCCACGCCCUAAACGAUGUCAACUAGUUGUCGGGUCUUAAUUGACUUGGUAACGCAGCUAACGCGUGAAGUUGACCGCCUGGGGAGUACGGUCGCAAGAUUAAAACUCAAAGGAAUUGACGGGGACCCGCACAAGCGGUGGAUGAUGUGGAUUAAUUCGAUGCAACGCGAAAAACCUUACCUACCCUUGACAUGGUCGGAAUCCUGAAGAGAUUUGGGAGUGCUCGAAAGAGAACCGGCGCACAGGUGCUGCAUGGCUGUCGUCAGCUCGUGUCGUGAGAUGUUGGGUUAAGUCCCGCAACGAGCGCAACCCUUGUCAUUAGUUGCUAGCAUGUAGUUGGGCACUCUAAUGAGACUGCCGGUGACAAACCGGAGGAAGGUGGGGAUGACGUCAAGUCCUCAUGGCCCUUAUGGGUAGGGCUUCACACGUCAUACAAUGGUACAUACAGAGGGCCGCCAACCCGCGAGGGGGAGCUAAUCCCAGAAAGUGUAUCGUAGUCCGGAUUGUAGUCUGCAACUCGACUACAUGAAGUUGGAAUCGCUAGUAAUCGCGGAUCAGCAUGUCGCGGUGAAUACGUUCCCGGGUCUUGUACACACCGCCCGUCACACCAUGGGAGCGGGUUUUACCAGAAGUAGGUA